rnacentral:rRNA from 1 species
CGUUCUAGCCGCCCGUACCCCAAACCGACUCAGGUGGUUAGGUAGAGAAUACCAAGGCGAUCGAGUGAAUCGUGGUUAAGGAAUUCGGCAAAAUACCCCCGUAACUUCGGGAGAAGGGGGGCCCAGAGGGUGACGGGACUUGCUCCCCGAGCCUGAACGGCCGCAGAGACCAGGGAGAAGCGACUGUUUACUAAAAACACAGGUCCGUGCCAAGUCGCAAGACGAUGUAUACGGACUGACGCCUGCCCGGUGCUGGAACGUUAAGGGGACCGGUUAGCCUCACGGCGAAGCUGAGAACUUAAGCGCCAGUAAACGGCGGUGGUAACUAUAACCAUCCUAAGGUAGCGAAAUUCCUUGUCGGGUAAGUUCCGACCUGCACGAAUGGCGUAACGACUUCUCCACUGUCUCAACCACGAACUCGGCGAAAUUGCACUACGAGUAAAGAUGCUCGUUACGCGCAGAAGGACGGAAAGACCCCGGGACCUUUACUACAGCUUGGUAUUGGUGUUCGGUACGGCUUGUGUAGGAUAGGUGGGAGACUGUGAAGCUGACACGCCAGUGUCGGUGGAGUCAACGUUGAAAUACCACUCUGGUCGUUCUGGAUAUCUAACCUAGGUCCGUAAUCCGGAUCAGGGACAGUGCCUGGUGGGUAGUUUAACUGGGGCGGCUGCCUCCUAAAAGGUAACGGAGGCGCCCAAAGGUUCCCUCAGCCUGGUUGGCAAUCAGGUUUCGAGUGUAAGUGCACAAGGGAGCUUGACUGUGAGACUGACAAGUCGAACAGGGACGAAAGUCGGGACUAGUGAUCCGGCGGUGGCUUGUGGAAGCGCCGUCGCUCAACGGAUAAAAGGUACCCCGGGGAUAACAGGCUGAUCUUGCCCAAGAGUCCAUAUCGACGGCAUGGUUUGGCACCUCGAUGUCGGCUCGUCGCAUCCUGGGGCUGGAGUAGGUCCCAAGGGUUGGGCUGUUCGCCCAUUAAAGCGGUACGCGAGCUGGGUUUAGAACGUCGUGAGACAGUUCGGUCCCUAUCCUCUGCGCGCGCAGGAAACUUGAGAAGGGCUGUCCCUAGUACGAGAGGACCGGGAUGGACGAACCUCUGGUGUGUCAGUUGUUCUGCCGAGAGCACCGCUGAUUAGCUACGUUCGGGAGUGAUAACCGCUGAAAGCAUCUAAGCGGGAAGCAUGCUUCAAGAUGAGGUUUCCAUGGGGUUUACCCCGAGAGGCUCCCAGCUAGACUACUGGGUUGAUAGGCCGGAUGUGGAAGUGCGGUAACGCAUGGAGCUGACCGGUAUUAAUAAGCCGAUAACUUGACC